GACGAACGCUGGCGGCGUGCUUAACACAUGCAAGUCGAACGGAAAGGCCCAGGUUGCUGGGUACUCGAGUGUCGAACGGGUGAGUAACACGUGGGGGAUCUGCCCCUGACAUUGGGAUAAGCCUGGGAAACUGGGUCUCAUACAGGAGAUAACCUUACAUCUCAUGGUGUUUGGUGGAAAGCUUUUGCGGUUGGGGAUGGGCCCGCGGCCUAUCAGCUUGUUGGUGGGGGAAUGGCCUACCAAGGCGACGACGGGUAGCCGGCCUGAGAGGGUGAUCGGCCACACUGGGACUGAGACACGGCCCAGACUCCUACGGGAGGCAGCAGUGGGGAAUAUUGCACAAUGGGCGCAAGCCUGAUGCAGCGACGCCGCGUGAGGGAUGACGGCCUUCGGGUUGUAAACCUCUUUCACCAGGGACGAAGCGUGAGUGACGGUACCUGGAGAAGAAGCACCGGCCAACUACGUG
rnacentral:rRNA from 1 species